rnacentral:rRNA from 1 species
AAAUUGAAGAGUUUGAUCAUGGCUCAGAUUGAACGCUGGCGGCAGGCCUAACACAUGCAAGUCGAGCGGCAGCGGGAAGUAGUUUACUACUUUGCCGGCGAGCGGCGGACGGGUGAGUAAUGUCUGGGAAACUGCCUGAUGGAGGGGGAUAACUACUGGAAACGGUAGCUAAUACCGCAUAACGUCUUCGGACCAAAGUGGGGGACCUUCGGGCCUCACGCCAUCGGAUGUGCCCAGAUGGGAUUAGCUAGUAGGUGGGGUAAUGGCUCACCUAGGCGACGAUCCCUAGCUGGUCUGAGAGGAUGACCAGCCACACUGGAACUGAGACACGGUCCAGACUCCUACGGGAGGCAGCAGUGGGGAAUAUUGCACAAUGGGCGCAAGCCUGAUGGGGCCAUGCCGCGUGUGUGAAGAAGGCCUUCGGGUUGUAAAGCACUUUCAGCGAGGAGGAAGGCAUAAAGGUUAAUAACCUUUGUGA